UAAGUGCUUCCAUGUUUUGGUGA
rnacentral:miRNA from 8 species